CCACACAAAAUAUAAAAGAACAAAGAAUCUCAAAUAAAAGAAAUAACUAUUUCAAACAGGUUACAUUGUUCGUCCUAAAAUUAAUUUUAACUAUGCAUAUUAAUGAAAGAAAAAUAAAAAAAUUUAAGGAAUUCAUCACCCGAUUAAUUGACGGAACGUGAAUAAUUUGCUAAAAGUGAAUCUGUCGAUUUUCCGCGUGUUGCCGUCUUUGCCGUGUUUAUACGCUGCCGCAAUUUUCUUGAGUAUUAAUCUUUGAAUGCAACAGCAGCCGGUAGUCCCCAAACAGUCGCAAUUUUUUGUGUCUUUCUCUCCAUUAACGACAAUUGGAAACGUCUGUCUAUGAAAUAUUGGCUGCCUCAAGUGUGUGGAAAUAUAUAUUAAUGGCUCUACCUCAAUUGCCAACGUGUGUGUCAAUAUCUCUGGUAGCGUCAAAGUGUGUGCAAAAAAUUAUAAUUUGGCUGCCUCUAAAUUCUUCUUUGCCUGUACAUAUAUAUCUCUCUCCAAAAUAAUAACCUAGUAGCCACAAUAGUUGACAAAGAAAAAGGACUCUAAAAGGGACUCUCAGCUCUCCAGCCUCCGGCAUGAAUGUAUAUACAAUACAACUCUUCAGCGACAUUAUUUGACUC
rnacentral:lncRNA from 1 species